rnacentral:rRNA from 1 species
UACGUGGGGUGCGAGCGUUGUCCGGAAUUAUUGGGCGUAAAGAGCUCGUAGGCGGCUUGUCGCGUCGGAUGUGGAAGCCCGGGGCUUAACUCCGGGUCUGCAUUCGAUACGGGCAGGCUAGAGUUCGGUAGGGGAGAUCGGAAUUCCUGGUGUAGCGGUGAAAUGCGCAGAUAUCAGGAGGAACACCGGUGGCGAAGGCGGAUCUCUGGGCCGAUACUGACGCUGAGGAGCGAAAGCGUGGGGAGCGAACAGG